UGUGGUGUAGCUCAGCUGGUAGAGCAAGUGGCUGUUAACCACUGGGUCGGGGGUUCGAACCCCUCCACCACAGCCA
rnacentral:tRNA from 2 species